GAACAGAACCAGGACAGGGAGGCUGGCCGGAGGUUCCUGCAGAGGGAGCGUCAAGGCCCUGUGCUGCUGUCCUUGGGGGCCAGAGGGGUUGCCCAUCAUGCCCACUGGCAGGAGAGAGGGAACUGACCCACUUGCUCCUACCAGCUUCUGAAGGCUCCAAAGUCCGGAGGUGCAGAAAGCCAGGACCAAGAGACAGGCAGCUCACCAGGGUGGACAAAUCGCCAGAGAUGUGGUGCAUUGUCCUGUUUUCACUUUUGGCAUGGGUUUAUGCUGAGCCUACCAUGUAUGGGGAGAUCCUGUCCCCUAACUAUCCUCAGGCAUAUCCCAGUGAGGUAGAGAAAUCUUGGGACAUAGAAGUUCCUGAAGGGUAUGGGAUUCACCUCUACUUCACCCAUCUGGACAUUGAGCUGUCAGAGAACUGUGCGUAUGACUCAGUGCAGGUAUGUUAUAAGCACAAAAAGAAUAGAGAUGGAAGACUAGGGCUAAGGUAGCGGAAUAAGGAUGUGGGAGGGAGUGCCACCUGUACUCACAGUGAACUGGAGUCAAGUCCUAGUGGCAUAAAUGUU
rnacentral:sRNA from 1 species